rnacentral:rRNA from 1 species
UGGUGGAGUGAUUUGUCUGGUUAAUUCCGUUAACGAACGAGACCUUAGCCUACUAAAUAGUCGCAACAACUACACGUUGGCUGCGGCUUCUUAGAGGGACUUUGCAAGCAAAUUGCAAGGAAGUUUGAGGCAAUAGCA